UGCACAUUUUCAUAAAUGAAUUAGUUUGAUACUAUCUGACCUUAAAUUGUUUUGCACAGUUAUCAAGUGUUUGAUAAUCAAGAAACUUUUGAAUGAAAAACUAUUUUAUGAAUAGAAUUAUGAAUUUAGUACCGAAACUUUUUCCAUUUACUGUUAGACACUUAAAUUGGAAAUGUCUAGAAAUACAGUAAACUCUUCUUGCUCAUUUUAUAUAAGAUUAGGCUUAGUGUAUGAAUUUUUGUGAUUUUCAUGUAUUUAUUUUUAAUUUAAUAUAUUGCUUUGUAUUUUCCAUUUCAAGAGCACUAAUAUAAAAUAAUAUUUUUAUAUCAUGUUUGUAUGUGAGUAUGUGCAUACUGAUUUGCACGUAUAUAACUUAAAUAGUUUAGGAACUUGUAAUCUUGUACCUUUUUCCAUGUUGGUAGUGUUUAAAUGAAUAAUAUGUAAUUGUAAACUUUAUUCACAGUGCCAUCCAGAUAAACAGCAACAAGGAGAGCAACAUGGCACAACUGUAGAGUUUCACAAAGUAGAACAAGCUUGGAAGAUUCUUGGUGAUGACAUUCAAAGAAAGCACUAUGAUACACUGCUGAAAGAACAAUGCUUACAUCAAGAUAUAUCAGUCAGUGAGAAGAUCUUCAUUGAGGACAUGACUUGGAAUUCUGUUUUCUUUCAUAGACACACAUGAAUACAAAUGGCCCUGCAGAUGUGGUGAUAUUUACAUUCUUGGAGAAGAUGUUGCAGAGGACAGAGUGAUUUUAUCGUGUGAAACUUGUUCGCUAAGUUUACUUGUGCAUAC